rnacentral:piRNA from 1 species
UAAGAGAGUUCGGUGGUCUCCUCGGA